AACGAACGCUGGCGGCAUGCCUAACACAUGCAAGUCGAACGAGAGCUGCGGGUCUAGUCGUGCAUUGGGGCGUAACGGGGGGGAAACUGCCCAGAGGUUUGGAAUAACUCCCGGAAAGGGGUGCGAAUACCGGAUAUUAUCUUGGGACCAAAGAUAUAUCGCCUUUGGAUGGGCGCGCGUUGGAUCAGCUGGUUGUUAGGGUAAAAGGCUCUAACUGGGUCGUUCCGUAGCUGGUAUGAGAGGAUGGGCAGCCACACUGGUACGAGGAAACGGCCCAGAAUCCUACGGGAGGGAGCAGAGGGGAAUAUUGGACAGUCGGGGAAGGGAUGAUGCAGCAAUGACGGGUGAGUGAUGAAAGCCUUAGGGAUGUAAAGCUAUUUUACCCGGGAUGAUAAUGACGGUACCGGGAGAAUAAGCACCGGCUAACUCCGUG
rnacentral:rRNA from 1 species